GGUAAAAUGGCUGAGUAUUAGGCAAUAAACUGUAAAUUUAUUUAGGGGAUUUUAAUCUCUUUUACCA
rnacentral:tRNA from 1 species